rnacentral:rRNA from 1 species
GUUGAACGCUGGCGGAAUGCUUUUACACAUGCAAGUCGAGCGGCAGCGCGGGGCAACCUGGCGGCGAGCGGCGGACGGGUGAGUAAUGCAUCGGAACGUGUCCAUGUCGUGGGGGAUAGCCCGGCGAAAGCCGGAUUAAUACCGCAUACGCCCGAGAGGGGAAAGUGGGGGACCGCAAGGCCUCACGCGAUUGGAUCGGCCGAUGUCCGAUUAGCUAGUUGGCGGGUAAAGCCCACCAAGGCGAUGAUCGGUAGCUGGUCUGAGAGGAUGAUCAGCCACGCUGGGACUGAGACACGGCCCAGACUCCUACGGGAGGCAGCAGUGGGGAAUUUUUGGACAAUGGGGGCAACCCUGAUCCAGCCAUUCCGCGUGAGUGAAGAAGGCCUUCGGGUUGUAAAG